UUAAAGUAGUAAGGGCGCAGGGUGGAUGCCUUGGCACUAAGAGCCGAUGAAAGACGUGAUAAGCUGCGAAAAGCUUCGGGGAGGAGCACAUAUCCAAUGAUCCGGAGAUAUCUGAAUGGGGAAACCCGGCAGAGGAAACCUCUGUCAGCGUGCAGUGAAUACAUAGCUGUACGUGGGGAACCCGGGGAACUGAAACAUCUAAGUACCCGGAGGAAGAGAAAGAAAAUUUAUCGAUUUCCAAAGUAGCGGCGAGCGAAAUGGAAAGAGCCCAAACCGUGAUGCGUGCAUCGCGGGGUUCGGACUGCGUUGUGGCAGACGUAAGAUAGGAGAACGGACUGGGAAGUCCGGCCGGAGAGAGUGAAAGCCUCGUAUCCGAAAUCCCAAGUCGCCUAGCAGGAUCCAGAGUAGGACGAGACACGAGAAACCUUGUCUGAAGGAGCGGGGACCACCCCGUAAGGCUAAAUACUUCUUAGUGACCGAUAGCGCAUAGUACUGUGAAGGAAAGGUGAAAAGUACCCCGGGAGGGGAGUGAAAGAGAACCUGAAACCCUGUGUCUACAAGCUGUGGGACCUCUUUAUAUGAGGGACUGCGUACUUUUUGUAGAACGGUCCGGCGAGUUGUGCGUACUGGCGAGGUUAAGGACUUAAGGUCUGGAGCCGAAGUGAAAGCAAGCGUUAAGAGCGCGUCAAGUCAGUGAGUGCAGACCCGAAACCGGGUGACCUAUCCAUGUCCAGGUUGAAGCUUCCGUAAGAGGAAGUGGAGGACCGAACCCACAUCCGUUGAAAAGGGUGGGGAUGAGGUGUGGAUAGCGGAGAAAUUCCAAUCGAACCCGGAGAUAGCUGGUUCUCCUCGAAAUAGCUUUAGGGCUAGCCUCAUGAGAGUCUUAUGGAGGUAGAGCACUGAAUUGCCUAGGGGGCGUCAAAGCUUACCAAAGCAUAUCAAACUCCGAAUGCCAUCAAGAUGAUUCAUGGGAGUCAGACCAUACGAGAUAAGUUGGAUGGUCAAAAGGGAAAGAGCCCAGACCUACAGCUAAGGUCCCAAAGUGCGUGUUAAGUGGAAAAGGAUGUGGGGAUUCUAAGACAACUAGGACGUUGGCUUAGAAGCAGCCAUUCAUUGAAAGAGUGCGUAAUAGCUCACUAGUCGAGAGUCCCUGCGCCGAAAAUGUCCGGGGCUAAAACACGACACCGAAGCUUAGGAAUGUGUAAACAUUGGUAGAGGAGCAUUGCUAGCGGGAUGAAGCCAUACCGUAAGGAGUGGUGGACUGCUAGGAAGAGAGAAUGCCGGAAUGAGUAGCGAGAUGAAGGUGAGAAUCCUUCAGGCCGAAUAUCUAAGGUUUCCAGAGUAAAGCUGAUCUGCUCUGGGUAAGUCGGGACCUAAGGCGAGGUCGAAAGACGUAGUCGAUGGAUAACAGGUUGAAAUUCCUGUACCGCAUAUAAACAGAACUGUGGGGACACAGACAGGGAAUGGAAUCCGGGAGUGGAAAUCCCGGUGCAAGCGAGGUAGGAGUGCUGUUGGCAAAUCCGCAGCACGAUCUGAAGACGUGACGCGUACCGAACAUAAGUAGGGAAGUCCAGGCCCCUGGCUGUCAAGAAAAGCCGCUAUCGUUUUAUAUGUGCCCGUACCGCAAACCGACACAGGUGGAUGAGGAGAGAAUCCUAAGGCCGACGGGAGAAGUAUUGUUAAGGAACUCGGCAAAAUGACUCCGUAACUUCGGGAGAAGGAGUGCCAUGAGAGUGGCCGCAGAGAAAUGGCCCAAGCAACUGUUUAGCAAAAACACAGGUCUAUGCAAAACCGCAAGGUGAAGUAUAUGGGCUGACGCCUGCCCGGUGCUGGAAGGUUAAGGGGAGAGGUUAGCGCAAGCGAAGCUUUGAACUUAAGCCCCAGUAAACGGCGGCCGUAACUAUAACGGUCCUAAGGUAGCGAAAUUCCUUGUCGGGUAAGUUCCGACCC
rnacentral:rRNA from 1 species